ACGAACGCUGGCGGCGUGCCUAAUACAUGCAAGUAGAACGCUGAAGAGAGGAGCUUGCUCUUCUUGGAUGAGUUGCGAACGGGUGAGUAACGCGUAGGUAACCUGCCUUGUAGCGGGGGAUAACUAUUGGAAACGAUAGCUAAUACCGCAUAACAAUGGAUGACACAUGUCAUUUAUUUGAAAGGGGCAAUUGUUCCACUACAAGAUGGACCUGCGUUGUAUUAGCUAGUAGGUGAGGUAAUGGCUCACCUAGGCGACGAUACAUAGCCGACCUGAGAGGGUGAUCGGCCACACUGGGACUGAGACACGGCCCAGACUCCUACGGGAGGCAGCAGUAGGGAAUCUUCGGCAAUGGGGGCAACCCUGACCGAGCAACGCCGCGUGAGUGAAGAAGGUUUUCGGAUCGUAAAGCUCUGUUGUAAGUCAAGAACGGGUGUGAGAGUGGAAAGUUCACACUGUGACGGUAGCUUACCAGAAAGGGACGGCUAACUACGUGCCAGCAGCCGCGGUAAUACGUAGGUCCCGAGCGUUGUCCGGAUUUAUUGGGCGUAAAGCGAGCGCAGGCGGUUUGAUAAGUCUGAAGUUAAAGGCUGUGGCUCAACCAUAGUUCGCUUUGGAAACUGUCAAACUUGAGUGCAGAAGGGGAGAGUGGAAUUCCAUGUGUAGCGGUGAAAUGCGUAGAUAUAUGGAGGAACACCGGUGGCGAAAGCGGCUCUCUGGUCUGUAACUGACGCUGAGGCUCGAAAGCGUGGGGAGCGAACAGGAUUAGAUACCCUGGUAGUCCACGCCGUAAACGAUGAGUGCUAGGUGUUGGAUCCUUUCCGGGAUUCAGUGCCGCAGCUAACGCAUUAAGCACUCCGCCUGGGGAGUACGACCGCAAGGUUGAAACUCAAAGGAAUUGACGGGGGCCCGCACAAGCGGUGGAGCAUGUGGUUUAAUUCGAAGCAACGCGAAGAACCUUACCAGGUCUUGACAUCCCGAUGCUAUUUCUAGAGAUAGAAAGUUACUUCGGUACAUCGGUGACAGGUGGUGCAUGGUUGUCGUCAGCUCGUGUCGUGAGAUGUUGGGUUAAGUCCCGCAACGAGCGCAACCCCUAUUGUUAGUUGCCAUCAUUCAGUUGGGCACUCUAGCGAGACUGCCGGUAAUAAACCGGAGGAAGGUGGGGAUGACGUCAAAUCAUCAUGCCCCUUAUGACCUGGGCUACACACGUGCUACAAUGGUUGGUACAACGAGUUGCGAGUCGGUGACGGCGAGCUAAUCUCUUAAAGCCAAUCUCAGUUCGGAUUGUAGGCUGCAACUCGCCUACAUGAAGUCGGAAUCGCUAGUAAUCGCGGAUCAGCACGCCGCGGUGAAUACGUUCCCGGGCCUUGUACACACCGCCCGUCACACCACGAGAGUUUGUAACACCCGAAGUCGGUGAGGUAACCUUUUGGAGCCAGCCGCCUAAGGUGGGACAGAUGAUUGGGGUGA
rnacentral:rRNA from 1 species